GAUGAACGCUGGCGGCGUGCCUAAUACAUGCAAGUCGAGCGAACAGAUGAGGAGCUUGCUCCUCUGACGUUAGCGGCGGACGGGUGAGUAACACGUGGAUAACCUACCUAUAAGACUGGGAUAACUUCGGGAAACCGGAGCUAAUACCGGAUAAUAUAUUGAACCGCAUGGUUCAAUAGUGAAAGACGGUUUUGCUGCCACUUAUAGAUGGAUCCGCGCCGCAUUAGCUAGUUGGUAAGGUAACGGCUUACCAAGGCAACGAUGCGUAGCCGACCUGAGAGGGUGAUCGGCCACACUGGAACUGAGACACGGUCCAGACUCCUACGGGAGGCAGCAGUAGGGAAUCUUCCGCAAUGGGCGAAAGCUUGACGGAGCAACGCCGCGUGAGUGAUGAAGGUCUUCGGAUCGUAAAACUCUGUUAUUAGGGAAGAACAAAUGUGUAAGUAACUAUGCACGUCUUGACGGUACCUAAUCAGAAAGCCACGGCUAACUACGUG
rnacentral:rRNA from 1 species